ACGAACGCUGGCGGCGUGCUUAACACAUGCAAGUCGAGCGGUAAGGCCCUUCGGGGUACACGAGCGGCGAACGGGUGAGUAAUGCAUCGGAACGUACCCAGUCGUGGGGGAUAACUACGCGAAAGCGUAGCUAAUACCGCAUACGCCCUGAGGGGGAAAGCGGGGGACCUUCGGGCCUCGCGCGAUUGGAGCGGCUGAUGUCGGAUUAGCUAGUUGGUGGGGUAAAGGCCUACCAAGGCGACGAUCCGUAGCUGGUCUGAGAGGAUGAUCAGCCACACUGGGACUGAGACACGGCCCAGACUCCUACGGGAGGCAGCAGUGGGGAAUUUUGGACAAUGGGCGCAAGCCUGAUCCAGCCAUGCCGCGUGAGUGAAGAAGGCCUUCGGGUUGUAAAGCUCUUUCAGACGGAAAGAAAUCGGGCGCGUGAAUAGCGUGCCUGGAUGACGGUACUGUCAGAAGAAGCACCGGCUAACUACGU
rnacentral:rRNA from 1 species